rnacentral:lncRNA from 1 species
GGAAAAACCAAAUUAGAAACUAAAAAAAAAAAAAAGAGGACAUUGUAUUGCUUCAUUUGAAAGCAUACAAGCAUACUGUUCUCAACUCAGCUCAAUUUACAGAUAGCCUGACAACCUUUUUAUAACCUGUCUUUUGUGCUAUAAUUUGCAUUCAUGGCUGCAUCUUUAAAAUAAUUGCAAUUUCAAUUAAGUGAACAGAGGAAAAGCAAAGAGGGAAAACAGGACCAUGUGAUGGGACUAAAUUUGAUACAGUUCUGGAUUCCUGCAGCCAGUUCUUAGAGUUAGCAAGGAAAGUCAGCACCGUUACCCUUUGCCAUUCUCGCCCAUUCUCACUAUUAUCAGCCUAAGAAUUAACCUCAUUUCUUUGUGAUUUAAGACUUCUCUUAAUACUAUCAAACCCAUAUAAGAGA